AUCAUCUCCCUCACCCUUCUGGCCUCAUUCCUUGUUUAAUGCAGCCCAGGAUAUAGUUGGCUUUUUGGGCUGUGGCUAUGAGGGCACAUUGCUGGCUCAAGUCUAGCUUCCCAUCCACCAGUACUUCCAAGUCCUUUUCAGCAGGACUGUACUCCAUCCUUACAGCCCCCAGCUUGUGUUAAUAGAGGGGGCUGCCAUGACCCAAGUACAAGACCUUGCACUUGGCUUUGUUGAAUCUCAUGAGGUUCACCCAGGCCCACUGCUUAAGACUGUCCAUGUCACUCUGGAUGGCAUCCUAUCCCUUAGGCAUGUCAGCCACACCACACAGCUUGAUGUCAUCCACAAACUUGCUGAGGGUGCACUCGAUCCCACCGUCAAUGUUGUUGAUGAAGAUAAUAAAGAGUAUUGGUGCCAGUACUGAUCCCUGAGGGACAUCACUUGCCACUGAGCUUCAUCUGGUCAUUGAUCUAUUGACCACCGCAAACUGGGUAAGAUCUUGCAGCUAAUUCCUCAUCCAUCAAACGGUCUACCCAUCAAAUCCAUAUCCUUCCAAUUUGGAGAGAAGGAUGUUAUGGGGGAUCAUGGCAAAGGCCUUAUAAAAGUCCAGAUAAAUGACAACAGUGGGCCUUCCCUUCAUACAUUGUACCUAUUUUUGGCAAGUUCUGUUGGACUAACUUGCAAUUGUUUUUAUAGAUAAAGAUAUAUAGAGGGAAGAGUAUGAAAUUUCCCUGGUUCGUUUAAAAUUUUAUUUGGCACAACUUGCAUAGGUACACUCCAGAUAACUUUUGGUGCUUUUUCUCUGAUCUGCUGCUCCUUACAAUUGCCAAAAUAAGCAGUUUAUUUCUGGAAAAAGACAGAACUUCCAUCCUGUAAUACACUAUCCAGAUAUAAACUGCCACCCUUCUCAUUGUUGCUGAUUUUUCAAAAAGCAUUGAAGUUGAUAUUUCAUACACUUGAUGAUGUGGAAGACUGAAUUAUUUGCAUGUGUCAAGUCUGAACUUAGCUGCUUUUCAAAUAAAUUAAGCUCAGUAUUUAAUCUUGUUUCACAAUGAUCAUCUCAUUAGACAUAUUCAUUAAAAAAAACUUAAUCUUUUCAUUUAACAGUUUACAAAAAUCAAAAAUUAUUUUUUUUUUUAAUAUUUCAAUCUCUCUUAAAGCAAAAAAAAACCUGAUUUUAGUCAUAGCAUUCUUUAACUUUUAUUUUCUUUUAAUUGUGGUUUAAAAUUUGUAUAUGUAUCUUGGCUAUUAUUUUUAGGGGUGUUAAUAUUGCUAUUUAUUAUUUUUAGCAGCAGUAUUUACACAUUCCAACAGGGAUUUACCACUACAUUAUAUUAAAACUAUUCAAACAAUUAACUCAACGUCUGUUUGUGUUCCAGGGAUCUCAUAAUUUAGACUGGGGUGUGGAAAGGAAAAGAUUUGGCAGAGGAAAUUUAAAAUACACUCAUUAAAAUAGCAGUACCUACUGCCUUGCAAGCUCUGCAGAACAGCUGAGGGUCAGUGAGACAUACUUAAUUUUCAUACCCUAAAUCAGUGUACUAAUGAAAUGGUGCUUUUUAAAAGCUUCUUUCACACAUUUAUUCCUUAUAGGAAAUUACCACUGGAUAUAAGUGCUUUGGAACAUUUGAGAAAGGUUUCCUUAACAUAGAAAAUAAGG
rnacentral:lncRNA from 1 species